rnacentral:snRNA from 1 species
GUGGUCGCCUCAGCAGCACAUACACUAAAACUAGAAUGAUACAGAGAAGAUUAGCCAGACCCUCACUCAAGGACGACACCCAAAUUCAUGAAGCUUUCCAUACCUGG